UGUUUGUGUCCCGAUUCUCACAUACAAGGAUUUUAAUCUAGAUAAGCAGAGUCUAUAAACUUGAAAGGAAUGUAAUGUAGGUAUACACAAAGGCCAAAGGGGACAACUGUUAACCAUGUAAUAAUCAACUGGAGAUGGAUUGUUUUUGAAAGCCCAGGCAGUUUUUGAGGUUACAGAAACAAGUCAUAAUAUUGAUUUGCUAACUAUAAGUGUUUGUGUUACAGGAAUGUAAUGUAGGUAUACACAGUCCAAAGGGGACAACAGUUAACCAUGUAAUCAUCGAAUGGAGAUGGAAUUCUUUGCUUAGAAAGAAAACAAGUCAUUCAAUAUUAAUGCACUCGGGUGCAAACAUUCAGAAGUUUUGUUCUCACUUGCAAAAAUAUCAAAGUCACUAGCGAUUGAUGGCAGCGAAUAACAAACGCUUCUUGAUGUGGGCUGUGAACUUUUCAAUCCAUCUAUUUGUGGACUGUUUAUUCUUUCUUACUCAGUAAUACAAAAUUUCACUCGCAUUUUGUGARUUUCAGUGAGUGUUAAUUUUGUGCCCUAAUGGUAGUUGAAGCCAGAGUAAUUUAUUAAUUAAUUUACUUUAGCAUUCUCUAAUCCCUGACCCUUAAAUUAUGAUGAAACUGCUGUUAAAAUGCAAGGGCAUAUCAUUGAGCAUCAGUCAAGCAUAUGAAAUCUUUAAAGAAUGAUGGCUAACUUCUUAAAUAAAAACUUUGUCCAAAAAAUAAUAAAUAAAAUCAGGAAUUAUUUUCCAGGAAAUUGCCUAUGCUAAGAGCAUUACUUAAGCACUCUACAUGCACUAAAGAAAAUCCCAGCUUAUCCUAUCUUAGCUAUAGGAUUUCUUUAUCUCUUUGAAUAAGUUUAAUACUUGUAUCAUCCUAUUACACAGUUACAGUAUAUCUACUCUAGAACGAGAUAUCUAUUGCAAUUGAUUUUUUCUCUUGAUACUAUUAGAGACAGCUAUGUUACUUUGUAAGUAUUAUUGUGGUCGGUCAGCCCCACCAUAACAAGAAAAUAAUAUGUUCGUAGAUAUGUGCAUUAUUGAAAUGGAUAAAUCAUAUUACAUGUUCCCAGGAUGUAGUAGCAACCAUUCCACUCAYGCUUGCAGCAUUUAACCUGAAAAAAGCAAUGGCUAGUCCUAACUGUUUAACUUAUAAACAUACAAUUCCUUAAA